UCCUGAAAAGGAUGUGCAGCUUUCAGCAGAAAUAAUUAAUGUGGGCUUAGAAGCAACAAAGGAUUGUUGUCUCUAAUGAGGAGACUUGAAGCUCCUUUCUAAUUGUAACGUGCUCUUAUCCUGUCUUUUUCUUGGCCUAAUCUUUUGGCCACAAGGGGGCAGGUUUUCCUUCAACUGUGUGUGUGGGACCAAGUAAUGGUAGAGAGGCCAGAGAGAUCGCUUUACCUCCAUCGUUCUCCCCAGAGCCUUUUGCCCAGACAGCAUUACUCACACUCAAGCAGCAUAGUCAUGCUCAUCAAGCUACUUAAUGACACGGAAGUGUUUAAAACUAACAGUGUUUUCAGUGUUUGGUGGCUAAAUGAUAUGGAUUUUCAGCUGCGGCAUAAAGAUUCCUCUGAGAUUGGAGCAAGACAGAAAGAAAGAAAGAGGGGGGGAGUGAUGAAUCUGGAGACGGCUCACACAUAAUGCUAAUUAUACACCCACAUAUUUCAUCCUUGUCCCGGCGUUUAUUAGACAUAGUGAUGAAUUAGAAAAUGACUUUGAGAUCACACCCCGCCCAUGAUCACGCCAAGCUCUUUGCCUAGCUCAUCAUUAUUUAUCUCUUUCCCUCCCCCCUCGCCAGGCGCCUUAUUUCAUUUUCAGGUUUGUCCGUCUCAAACGUUUGUACCUGCUCUCUUUAGGGCGGCAGUAGCUGUAAGGAUGAUUCACACUCUGUCCAACCUGAUUUACCCUUCAUUUCUAGGCUGCAUGCUCUUGAUCCCUGCAUGGGCUCAAUUAAAACUCUCUUCCUGCCCUUCGGCUCAGACGCUGUGGCAGCAGCAGCAGCAGCUCUUCAGCGUGUGAGAGGUCUCCAUUUAUGCACUUCUCAGGACUCUAUUUGAUCUGACACAAUUUGAUUUUAAGGCGGCCAAGCUUAAAGAAUUCCCACCCACCUCUCUCCUCGUAAUCCUACCAAAAAAGGAAGAAAAAUAUGUCAACCUUAUUUUCACUUGGCCGCAUGAAGCCCGCUCCAGAUGAAACGGUCUUUAGCUCUUUGCGAGGCUCCACAGACGUCCGUGUUCCAGCGUGUUUUAGACGGUAGGAAACGUUGAGAGGGGAAAACGUUCCAGGGAUUUUUUUCUUUUCCAAAGUCUCCAAAUUAGUUGCGUUUGAUUUUAAUUCCAGCCAUGAUCACUUGUCAUAAAGCGUCCCAAACCCUGCUGCUAAGCAUAGAAACAGUAAAUACACAGUAAGAUGAAACUGUUUGACAAUUGGCAAGUUAUGACCGUCUUUCUAUUUGUUUUUAAACUGAAGUUAAUUUCUUAAGAGUGACGAGUCCAUUUCCAUCAGAAAGGAUUAGAUUUUUUAAAAACACCAUAUCAAGUUGUAACACCAGCAGCAUUUAAAAUCUAAUUUAAAGUAGUUACUAUGCAACCACCAUUGUCAAAACAAAAAAUUUAAAGAUUACAACCUCACAAUUUUCAAGUCGGAAUUACAAGUCGGUUGCUUUUUUUUCAUGACAAAUUAUUUGCUUUGACUGUUCGAUUUUACAGUAACACGUCUCAAGAACACUUGAUCAUUUUUCCUGAUAAUCCGACCAAAAAACAGGAGAAAAAUCUGCAGCGCUAAUUUCCUACCGGAUGCGUGAACCUCCCUCUAGAAGAUUCACUUUAUUUCUUGGAACAAAUUUUAGGUGUAGGUGAACAAUUGAAGCAGAAAAAAAAUAACAGACUUGUUCCAGAUCACAGAGAUAAUCGGUGGAAGUAUUUAUCCUCAGUUUUGCAAAGUUAGCUUCACUUGUCUGUAAUUCCAGCAGCAGCACUGGUUAUGUUUUUAGCAAAUUAUAUUUUGCACAUAUCAAGUUAUUUUCUGUGUCAGCCCUGGUAGAUUUAUAUGUUAAAUCAGAUUUAAAGCCUGACGGGAAAUGAAACAGACACCGUAAGAGAACAAAAUUACAGAAGAGGAGUAUCAACUUUGGAAAAGACAAAAUGGGUCGGCUGGUUUCAUUGUUUUAUGGAAAAAUCAAUAAUUGGUGAAAAAAUCCUUUAUUUUUACAGUGUAGCCGUCGAACCCUUUUUCUAAAUACUAACUUUUUCCAAUGUUUCCCCUGGAAAAGGUUUUUUGUUAAUUGCAUCACAUCUUUGUUAACAAUGUUCCAGUCGCAAAUCAUAAACCAGAAGCAUUAGCCAAUUGCUGUGUUGGUGGACCAGAUUAUAGUUUUAGCAGUACAAGCCAGUUAGAUCAUAUUUUAUGGCUCCAAACACCAAAAGGAACAUUUUCACAAAAAAUAUACCUCACAGCAGAUAUUGAUGUUGGAGCUGAUAUGAUAAAAUACAGCCAGUUACUGCAACUUUCACUGUUUUUCUGUCACAUAUUCAGUGGCAGCUGUUAAGGAAAACUAGCUUAGCGAGUCACAAAUGUUAGAAAUGGGCAAGAGGUUAAAUUUGAAAAGAAAAUUAUUCUCUCUCGCUGAUUUGUAGAUAAAUUAACAAGCUUGGCCUGAGCCAGGUCUUGCUGUUUUGUGUGUGUUUCGAGUUAAACCAACUGGCUGCUUACCAUUCAGAAAUAAUGAGUUAUUAGUUUGGUCAUUAGUAUGAGUGUGAGGUGUGUUAUUUCAACUUUUCCUUUAAAUAUAACAUAGUCAACGGUUCUGUAUGAAAUAAAAUACCUAAAAUCAAAAACUGUGAGGUAAUCCAUUCUAAAAUCAAAAUGGUGAAUUCUUGCUAUAUUUCAUUUUUCUUUGUAUAACCUGCCUAUUCAGCUACUUUUUCAUAAACCCCAAGAAAAAAAGAAAGUAAUCAAUAAGGAAAAUAGACAUUUCUAUGUUGUCUCCAUACAAGUAUCACAGGAUAUGACCCUCACUUGAACUAAUUUUUAAUUCCCUCUAUCCUCAAACAAAAUCUAGCAAAAUAGUAUCAAAGCACAUGUUGGUUGUUGCUUUCAUUGGCCAAAAAUGUGGGAAUUCUUAGGUUUGAUAUGUUAAAAGACUGUUUUAAAAAAAAUCUAAUUAUUCAAUGAACUCUUGUGAUAACUUAGAGUAAAGUUGAAAAGUUUUUUUUUUUUUUUUCAGUAACUCAGUUCACAAAGUGAAACCCAUUAAACAUUAAUUAAGGAAAACAACAUUUUCAGAUUUCAAGGUUCAUAGUUCAGAAAUGUGCCUCAUACCUGCUUAUAGCUUAUUUUUAAAACGUACUUUUAAUCUGACGAACGACCAUCAUUGGAUGGAUAUUCUAAUUUAUUGAAUAUAGCUGGCAUCUGGAGCCAAGGAAGGCAAAAUAGUGUGAUUCUAAUAUUAAAAUGAAUUUGUUUUAAGUAUUAAAAAGGGGGGAAAAAAGCUAUUUUCAAAAUAUGUCACUGUUGUCAUAAUUUAAUAUCCACUUUUAGCUCACCAACUACACUACAAAGAAAAAAAACAUCUCUAGUUUAUGGUUAAAUAGAGGUAUUUUACUGGAAAUUAGAGAUUUUCUUUCACAGGUAUUUUUUUACAGUAUUGCCUGCCUACCCAAUUGAUAGUUUGAGGUCACAAGUUUCUGCUACUGUUAUUUUGUGGGCUGGAAGGUGAAAAGUUUGGGAAUCGGUUCUCUGAGCAAAUAUUGUCCAAGUCGGACGCGAUUAGAUGGGUUUAUCAUUAACUUCUGUGGUUACCAAAGCCUCCCCGAUUUUUAUUUCACCAUUUUUCUACUAAUACCUACAUAUCAGCUCGCCCUGCUCACAAUGUCCGACGACACCGACCGGAUUUGUCCUGGGACUCGCCCCGCUGAGCACCUGACAGGUUUCCCCGUUUUUCGUCAUCUAGGUGCCGUUCCUGCUGGACUCUCCCACGCAGUGACACGCUACCAUGAACUUUUGUUUGUUCCCCCCACCCCCCGCCUUUUCAAAGACAGAAGCCCCAUUUUAAAGCCACAUGCUGGUCAAACAAGUCAGGUCAAAACAUUGCCACAUAGUAUCUGCCCUGUCUGUGAAUGUUUAACGGAGACUGAUAUUUGCCUUACCUUUAUUUUGCUAGCUACAGAGAGCUAACGGGGUGAAAGAUGGGAAGAGACAUCAACAGGAAAAGCUGAAAGGAAAGCACAUUUCUUACAGAUCCCUAACAGGCAAACAAACUGUUAGCAUCAAGCGAACUAGCUAACCGAAGACGGUUCAUCCAACAUUUUGUGCCAAAAAAAAAAAAAAAACUGAGCCUGAGCCUGGGCAGGCAGCGGUGGAGCUUUGGUUGUUUUGUGGUUUUCGUUUCUUUUAACGUGUCAGGACCAACAGCAAAUCAGAAAACCUUCCUGAGGCUCACAGCGUUCCCUUUUUGUGUGUGCGAGAGCGCUGAGAAGCCAACAGGCACAAUUUGGUCAGAAACCAGGGAUGAAAAACAACAA